UAUUAAAAAUUCAUCCAUUUUUACUACUAAAAACAGAUGUGGUUGACAAAAUUAACCUUAUAGUUAUAUGUGGCAUGCCACGUGUACCUUCUGAGGACGUACAAGGAUCAGUUUUUAACAAUAAAAUGGAUGAAAUUUUUUAAUA
rfam:Gossypium arboreum cultivar AKA8401 contig_8028_5, whole genome shotgun sequence.